GCAGGAAUGGAGUGAGGGAGUGGAAACAGCGUGUGUACCCAACUCUUUCAAGACUGUUGGCUGUCGGGUCGCCUGGUGGUGUAGCAGUUAAGUUCGUACAUUCCGCUUCGGCGGCCCAGGGUUCACCGGUUCGGAUCCCGGGUGUGGACAUGGCACCGCUUGGCAAGCCAUGCUGUGGUGGAAGCACCAGUGGCAGAAUAUUAACUACCAACUCCUGGGCAAGAGGAAGAGCCAUCUGGUUCCCCUGCGCCCGUGAGAGCGAAUGUGAGGAAACAGGCUCCAGGUUCAUCACAUGGUGGUCCCAAGGCCGACUUGUGCAAGCCAGGAUGACAGGAGGACGGCGUGGGAGCACUGCUCAAUCCCGUAGCCCUUCCCUGUGGCUGAAGAUGAUCCACCUUCGCCCUGUCUCCUGAGGUCUCCGUGUUUCUGCCCUUCACGGCCCAAAUAAAGCAGCUUUUGCCUCUCUCUGGCCCUCUCCACUUUGCAGGGUGAUGAUCUCAGUUCCUUCCAUUCGCAUACACUGUUAGACUGAACCCAAAGGCUGGGAGGGCAUCUGCUGCCACCCCUGACCCUUCCACUGCCCCCAUCUCCCCCGUGAACCCCCCAGUGGGAUAGCCUAGAUGACCCAGACCUGGCUCCUGCUCUCUAGACUCUCGCUGUGCCAUAGAAAGAGAAAGGCAGAGACAUACACUAGCUCAGUAAAGUGCCACAGGAGAGUGAUAUUGUUUGGGGCACAGUGAGUCCUCUGGUGAGUGAGGAAAGCCUUCAGGAAGGGUCUUGAGCUGAAUCUGGACAAGUGGGCAGGCACUGGGUAGGCAUAAGUAGCGCUCCAGGCAGAUUUGGCAGCACAGAGAAAGGUUUGGUCAUUUGCAGGCUGAACUCCUCAUCCCACUGAGGGAACUGUGAGACUGGCGGCCAAAUGGGCUCUGCUUAAAAUGAGGCUAGCUGGGCUGGAGCUUCAAAGACCUGGAAGGCUAGAAUAGGGGGCUGGACAUUCUCCGGGAGGAAGUAGGGAACCAAGGACAAGUU
rnacentral:lncRNA from 1 species